rnacentral:tRNA from 1 species
GGCAAGAUGGCCGAGUUGGUCUAAGGCGUCAGGUUAAGGUUCACCUUAAUAAUUCAGCUUCCAAGCUUCCUGAUCAUGGUUUCAUGGCGUGGGUUCGAAUCCCACUCUUGUCA